rnacentral:misc_RNA from 1 species
AUUUUUUUUUUUUUUUUUUCCAAAGAGGAGAGUUUAAGGAAAGAUUUGUUUUUUCCUUUGUUUUACUUUUCCCUAUUGUAUAGCCACGCGCCUUAGAAACUUCAACAAGUCAUAAGAGAAUUCCAUAGAUAGUGGAGUUUAUGCCUAGACAGAAGAUGCUUCAGAACAAAAAAAAAAGGGAAAGAAAGAAAGAAAACCUUUGUUAGUAGUCUUGUUAUUGGCAUGUGAUACUUGAUAUGCUAUUCCUUAUUACAGCUAUGGUUUUACUCAGCUUUGUCAAGAACUAUAAGAAAAAAAAUAUUGCCAUUGAAGUGAAAUUCAACCAAUGAAGUAUUAGUUUCGUUCGUUAAAAUUGAUCUUUUGCUUAUGCGUGUUGUGUUCAUUUUCCCGUUAUCCCCCUUGUCUAAUCAUGAAUUCAAGACUGAAUGAGGACCUUGAUGAUGUGUAGUUGGUCAUGCCUGUAUGCAACCGUAGACUGUGCUCAAUUAUUCAUCAACCAGAAGCUGGUUGUGCCUGGUUUUGAAAUAACUAGUGCAUCAAAUUUAACUCUCAGCCAAUGCAGUGUGCUCUGUUUUAUGAAGUGCAAGAUCGCUUUGGAAAUUGUUUGUUAUGGUUUAUUGUCAUAUCGCUACACAGCCUUCAUGCCUCUGCCUAAUCAUUACAUCUCGAUCAUCAUGUAGCAGAAUUAUUCAACUUCAUAUAGGUAAAUGCACCUGAGAAAAGUGCCUGUGAUGUGGCGGUAAGAAUUUAAUGCAGCUCAAAGUCCUACUCUUGCACUUUUCUGCAAAUCUUGUACACAAGAAACAGGCAAGAUUGAAAGAAAGGGAAGCGCGAGGGGGGUGUUUUGAAAAAAGAAGAUGAUCAUGUAAGCUAAGCAUAAAUAGAAACCAUAAGAGCGGCUAAUUUUAUAGCUUAUUUCUAAAUUUUACUCUGUAUUUCACUUGUCUUCCUUGACUUUAAUUUGUUAUUAAAAAUUCUUUGAACUCUAAUUUUG